CACCGGCAGCUCAAGUGGUAGCCGCUUUUAUUGGGCCUAAAGCGUCCGUAGCCGGUCUGAUAAGUCUCUGGUGAAAUCCCACAGCUUAACUGUGGGAAUUGCUGGAGAUACUAUCAUGACUCGAGGUCGGGAGAGGCUGGAGGUACUCCCAGGGUAGGGGUGAAAUCCUGUAAUCCUGGGAGGACCACCUGUGGCGAAGGCGUCCAGCUGGAACGAACCUGACGGUGAGG
rnacentral:rRNA from 1 species